GCCGGAGUGGCGGAACGGUAGACGCCAAGGACUUAAAAUCCUUUGAUCGUAUGAUCGUGCGGGUUCGAUUCCCGCCUCCGGCACCA
rnacentral:tRNA from 1 species